rnacentral:rRNA from 1 species
UACGUAGGGUGCGAGCGUUGUCCGGAAUUACUGGGCGUAAAGAGCUCGUAGGUGGUUUGUCGCGUUGUCCGUGAAAACUCACAGCUUAACUGUGGGCGUGCGGGCGAUACGGGCAGACUGGAGUACUGCAGGGGGAGACUGGAAUUCCUGGUGUAGCGGUGGAAUGCGCAGAUAUCAGGAGGAACACCGGUGGCGAAGGCGGGUCUCUGGGCAGUAACUGACGCUGAGACGCGAAAAGCGUGGGGAGCGAACAGG